rnacentral:rRNA from 1 species
UGAACGCUGGCGGCGUGCCUAAUACAUGCAAGUCGAACGCACAGCGAAAGGUGCUUGCACCUUCAAGUGAGUGGCGAACGGGUGAGUAACACGUGGACAACCUGCCUCAAGGCUGGGGAUAACAUUUGGAAACAGAUGCUAAUACCGAAUAAAACUUAGUGUCGCAUGACACAAAGUUAAAAGGCGCUUCGGCGUCACCUAGAGAUGGAUCCGCGGUGCAUUAGUUAGUUGGUGGGUAAAGGCCUACCAAGACAAUGAUGCAUAGCCGAGUUGAGAGACUGAUCGGCCACAUUGGGACUGAGACACGGCCCAAACUCCUACGGGAGGCUGCAGUAGGGAAUCUUCCACAAUGGGCGAAAGCCUGAUGGAGCAACGCCGCGUGUGUGAUGAAGGCUUUCGGGUCGGAAAGCACUGUUGUAUGGGAAGAACAGCUAGAAUAGGAAAUGAUUUAGUUUGACGGUACCAUACCAGAAGGGACGGCUAAAUACGUG